AGCUAAUACAUGUAAUAAAGGAGGAGAGAAAUCGAAUCUGAUGGCAUUUAUUAGACAAUUACCAAUCGUAGGGUAAAACCUAUGUGGUGAAUCUAGAUAACUUUGCAGAUCGUAUGGCCAAGAGCUGACGACAUUUCGAUUGAAUUUCUGCCCUAUCAACUAUUGUCGGUAGUGUAGUGGACUACCGAGGUUUUUACGGGUGACGGGGGAUCAGGGUUCGAUUCCGGAGAGGGAGCCUGAGAAACGGCUACCACAUCCAAGGAAGGCAGCAGGCGCGCAAAUUACCCAAUCCAGACAAUGGGAGGUGGUGACGAAAAGUACCGGAUGACGAUCAAUGAUUGUCAAUUCGGAAUGGAAUCAAUUUAAGCAAUUGGUUGAGAAACGACUGGAGGGCAAGUCUGGUGCCAGCAGCCGCGGUAAUUCCAGCUCCAGUAGCGUAUCUCAAAGUUGCUGCGCUUAAAACGCUCGUUGUUGGAUCACAAACUAUGCAACGGUUGAUAUGACGGUUAGUCAAAAAUGAAGAUUUGGCAGUAUGUCAUCAUAUUGUUGAUGAUUCAUCUGGGUUAUCGUGAUAUCAUAAGCUGGGGUGUAGUAAUUGCAUGUGAGGAUAGAUAUUGGCCUUGAGUGAGCUGAUGUUUGUGUCUCGCAGAGUGUGCCUUGAGUAAAUCAGAGUGCUUAAAGCAGGCUUGACGCUUGAAUGUUAUAGCAUGGAACGAACAAUCGUGUAUGGUGUAUAUUGGGUAUUGAUUGGUAGACUCGUUUAUCAAUCAUCAAUGUACGACACCGACCACCAAUGAACGGAUGUUGGUUCCGUCAUGGGGUAUCGAUUAAGAGGAGCGGUUGGGGGCAUUGGUAUUUGGCAGCGAGAGGUGAAAUUCUUGGACCUGUCAAGGACUAACAAAUGCGAAGGCAUCUGUCCAGACCGUAUCCAUUAAUCAAGAACGAUAGUGAGAGGUUCGAAGACGAUCAGAUACCGUCCUAGUUCUCACCGUAAACUAUGCCGACCCGGGAUCAGUUUGGAGCUUUGUUCCAUGCUCGGAGUUGGUCCCCCUGGGAAACCUAAAGUUUUUUGGUUGCGGGGGGAGUAUGGUCGCAAGGCUGAAACUUAAAGGAAUUGACGGAAGGGCACCACCAGGGGUGGAGCCUGCGGCUUAAUUUGACUCAACACGGGAAACUUACCUGGUCCGAACAUCCGAAGGAUACACAGACUAAUAGAUCUUUGUUGAUGGGGUGAAAAGUGGUGCAUGGCCGUUCUUAGUUCGUGGAGUGAUCUGUCAGGCCAAUCCCGGUAACGAACGAGACUACAUUCUCCAUUUGACGAAUUAGAGAAGACCGGUUAUGAGCAGUUGGCGACAAUUGUUAUGUAAUUUGGUUGUGGGAAGUAUGAGCGACGUUGUUCGGAGACCAAUUGUGGCAACAUGGUUGGAGGAAGGCUGCUAGCUUAUACUCCCUCUGGUUUAGCAAUGUACAGUGUACGUUGUAUCAUGGAGAGACAGCGGAAUAUAUUACAAAAUCCGAGGAAGUGUAGCUAUAACAGGUCCGUGAUGCCCUUAGAUGUUCAGGGCUGCACGCGCGCUACAAUGAUGGCAACAACGAGUUUCUAAAUCGAAAGAUUUGGGUAAUCUUGCAAUUGUCAUCGUGAUGGGGAUCGACGUUUGUAAAUACGUCGUGAAAGAGGAAUCCCUAGUACGUGCGAUUCAUGCAGAUCGCGCGGAUUGCGUCCCUGCCCUUUGUACACACCG
rnacentral:rRNA from 1 species